UUGUGCCAAGGAUUGUUUAUCGCGAGUUGCUCUGUUGUACGCCGCUGUCGGAGCUACGAUUCUACUACUGCCGCCUUUGCUGUGAGCCGUUAAUUGUAGCGAGUAUUGUUGUCAUGGCGGCUGGUUUAGUCGCUCCUCUUUAGUACGGAUCGAGGUCCGAUUGCUGCACGUUGGCGAAUUUAAGUUACUGCUGUGGGUACGGACACCAUGGAGCUGUGAUUGCGAUUGUUACCAAUGUCGGGCCGAGAGGAAAAGAGUUUCGAUGACGUGUUUGGUCUAUAGUUUCGACUUAUUGAGCUUUACCUUUUCAGGAACCAGAUGAAUAAGCAUUAAGAAGAGUUAUACUACGUUUGGU